rnacentral:piRNA from 1 species
AGUGGCUUCAGUUUUACUUUUGUUCGCUCU